rnacentral:rRNA from 1 species
AUUGAACGCUGGCGGCAGGCCUAACACAUGCAAGUCGAACGAGUGGCGGACGGGUGAGUAAUGUCUGGGAAACUGCCCGAUGGAGGGGGAUAACUACUGGAAACGGUAGCUAAUACCGCAUACCAUCAGCUGUGCCCAGAUGGGAUUAGCUAGUAGGUGGGGUAACGGCUCACCUAGGCGACGAUCCCUAGCUGGUCUGAGAGGAUGACCAGCCACACUGGAACUGAGAAACGGUCCAGACUCCAACGGGGGGCAGCAGUGGGGAGUAUUGCAAAAUGGGCGCAAGCCUGAUGCAGCCAUGCCGCGUGUAUGAAGAAGGCCGUCGGGUUGUAAAGUACGUUCAGCGAGUAGGCGUUACUCGCAGAAGAAGCACCGGCUAACUCCGUGCCAGCAGCCGCGGUAAUAC